UACGAACUGUGCGAACGUUAUUCGGAAUCACUGGGCUUACAGGGUGCGUAGGCGGCUCAACAAGUCAGGUGUGAAAGCCCCCGGCUCAACCGGGGAACUGCGCUUGAAACUGUUAGGCUCGAGUCAGCUAGAGGUACACGGAACUUCCAGUGGGAGCGGUGAAAUGUGUUGAUAUUGGAAGGAACACGGAGGCGAAAGCGGUGUACUGGGGCUGGUCUGACGCUGAGGCACGAAAGCCAGGGGAGCGAACGGG
rnacentral:rRNA from 1 species